GCCUGGGUGGCUCAGUGGGUUGAGCAUCUGACUUCGGCUCAGGUUGUGGUCUUGCACUCUGUGAGUUAGAGCCCCAUGUCUGGCU
rnacentral:tRNA from 1 species